rnacentral:rRNA from 1 species
GACGAAGGGGGCUAGCGUUGCUCGGAAUCACUGGGCGUAAAGGGUGCGUAGGCGGGUCUUUAAGUCAGGGGGGAAAUCCUGGAGCUCAACUCCAGAACUGCCUUUGAUACUGAAGAUCUUGAGUUCGGGAGAGGUGAGUGGAACUGCGAGUGUAGAGGUGAAAUUCGUAGAUAUUCGCAAGAACACCAGUGGCGAAGGCGGCUCACUGGCCCGAUACUGACGCUGAGGCACGAAAGCGUGGGGAGCAAACAGG